rnacentral:rRNA from 1 species
AUUGAACGCUGGCGGCGUGCCUAACACAUGCAAGUCGAGCGGCAGCGCGGGAGCAAUCCUGGCGGCGAGCGGCGGACGGGUGAGUAAUGCUUGGGAAUCUGCCUGUUAGUGGGGGACAACCCGGGGAAACGUCGGGCUAAUACCGCAUACGCACUACGGUGGAAAGCCGGGGACCGCAAGGCCUGGCGCUAACAGAUGAGCCCAAGUCGGAUUAGCUAGUUGGUAGGGUAACGGCCACCAAGGCGACGAUCCGUAACUGGUCUGAGAGGACGACCAGUCACACCGGAACUGAGACACGGUCCGGACUCCUACGGGAGGCAGCAGUGGGGAAUAUUGGACAAUGGGGGAAACCCGUGAUCCAGCGACGCCGCGUGGGUGAAGAAGCCUGCGGGUUGUAAAGCCCUUUCAGUGGGGAAGAAAAGCCUCGACCUAACACGUCGGGGUCUUGACGUAACCCAUAGAAGAAGCACCGGCUAACUCUGUGCCAGCCGCCGC